GAGUUUACAGCUCAGUGGUAGAGCACUUGCCUAGCAUGCAUAAGGCCCUGGGUUCAAUCCCCAGCAUAUUUA
rnacentral:tRNA from 1 species